CUUUUUUCUCCAGUUUUGGCUUUUUGUUUUUGAAAAAGUGGCCAAAAUGGCGAAAAAGUAAAGCGUACCCCGUUUAGUUUUUGCCCAUUUUUGGAUACUUUUUAGCUUUCAAAAAAGUGGCAAAAUUAUAAAGGUUACAAGUUUUUACUUUUUGUCCAACUUGGGCGACUAAAUUUUUGAAAAGAUGGUCAAAAUGUGAGAAUUUGCCCAAUUUUCGACACUUGUUUACUUUACUUUCUGUAAUAUUGACCAAGAAAUAAUAAUAAAAAAACAGAUGAUAUGCACUACAGCCCGUUUUCACUAGGCGAAUUCAGUUUGCUCUCGUUAGUUUCUAGAUGAAUAAUAAAUGUACAAAAUGUAUACAGUGAGAUGUAAUAUGGUGACUACAGGACUUAGUAUAUAUGUAAUAUGUAUAAGAAAUUUUCACCAUUAAAUCAUUAAUUGACCAG